GGGGGCGGAAAGCUUCAGGGGCCUAUAGAUCAUCACUUGAUAUGGUACCUGGAAAAUCAGGAGGUAGCAUGGAAUUUUUUUUCAAUGCAAGCGUGGGAACCCUGGUGGUGUGUGUGCAGUAAGUGUGUGUGUGUGCAAUAAAUGUGGAUAUGUGUAAGUGUGUGUGUGUGUGUGCAGUAAGUGUCUGUGCGUGGGGUGUGUGUGUGUGUGUGUGUGUGUGUGUGUUGUGUGUGUGUGUGUGUGUGUAGUAAGCGUGUGUGUAGUAAGUGUGUUGUGUGUGUGUGUGUGUGUGUGUGUGUGUGUGUGUGUGUGUGUGUAUUCUGUCUUACUGUCUCAACCCCCCGCUCCUCAGGUGAUCAUCGAUGACUCAGACGAAGACGAGGUCUCUUAUGUGAAAUCAAAGCCGACAAGGAGCACCCCUGUGACAUCACGUGGGCGGAGCUCGCAAAGUCAGAGUCAGAGAGGAGUGUGCUUUGAUGAUGAUGAUGAGGAUGAGUUUGACCCCUUUAAGAGUGGCAGUAGGCGGAGCCACAGAUAACCACGCCCUCCAGCGGUUUUCCAAUUC
rnacentral:lncRNA from 1 species